GUUUGUGGGGUGGGUGAGAAGGGAAGGAAAUUCCUUUGACUGGUUAAUGAGGUUUUAGUUGUUGACCGAGAAUUGAUUGAAUUGCUGAGGUUUACAUGAUGCGAGAAAUUCUUAUUAGCUUGACUGUGUUUUGCUUUUCUUAAUAAUUACGGUAGUAUAGUUGUUGACUGAUAUUACUUUGUAUGGCGGGUGCCACAUGGCAAACCAACAAUAUUUUUCAUCUCUCUCAAAUUGUAUAAUUCAGCAACUAAGGUGUUUAGUGGAGAUUUGAGUUGAAACUUGUUGUAUAGGCUCCAAGGUGUGUCAUAACUUACAUUGUAUAAUUCAGCAACUAAGGGUUGAAGUUGAGAUUUCAGUUGAAACUUGUUGUAGAGGCUCCAAGGCAUGUCAUAACUUAGGGUGAAUCGAAAGAUAAGUA
rnacentral:misc_RNA from 1 species